GACAAGGCCUAUUCUCAUAGCACUCCCAAAAAUAUUAAACUAUCAUUCCUCCCGACAAUUUUCCCACAUUCCAUCUUGUUUAAUCAUUUCCACGUUGUAACUGUCUCUUAGUCCCUUAAGGUGUGAUCAGUUAUAAUUUCUUGGCUGUGUUUGUGUUUAUGAUGAGGGUAUCUGUGUGAUCAGCUGUUAUGACCCAGGGACUAAGUUUUGGCCGUGCCAGUCAGCCUGACCAGAUUAUCAACUCCUUCGUGGCAGUUUUGAAGAUGAAUCAGAACAGUUAUGUGUCUAUGAACCAUGUGUUUGUCCUUCCCACCUACACCGCAGUUCAGUGGGAUCAAGGCAGACUGGAUCACUGGAUGUUUCAGAAGGUAUCAACUUAAACGAAUCUCUUCUGGGAUUAUUGGUGCUUUUACCUCCACAGCGGCAAUCCUUUAUAACAUCAAGGAUAUAUUGAGGAUGUACAAAAAUAAAACUAUGUUGGUUCAAUUCUCUAUGAAAAGACAUGUACUGAUGCCCAUCUGUGUUCAUGGGAACCACUGGGUGCUGAUGGUGGUUGACAUCAGAAAGAGAACAGUGACCGUCCUGGAUUCCAUGCAUGGGCAGGUUGGUCAUCGUUUGACCAGAUUGUGGACUCAGUUCAUGGCUGACCGGGACAGAAAAACAGAAAUUUCAGAGAAAUUUGGACGGUGGAAUUCAGCUACGCCUUGCAGCAGACUGAUAGCAGUUUCUGUGGUGUGUUUGUCCUCAUGAAUGCUGAGUGUGUUGUCAAAGGUGUACCAGUGGAGGUCAUGAGGCAAGCACACUGAAGGAACUAUCGACAGGAUGUCAAGACUCGACUGCUUCUAACUGGCCAUCAAAACCAGACUCAACUAUUCAUGUUUUUCUUUAUUAAAGAUUACUACAGUAAACUCAAAUGAUAUUCCUGUAUUUCACGAUAAUUUAUUACUAUAAAAUUGAAGGAUAUACCCGUGUUUGAUUAAAGCUUAUUACUGUAAAUGUUAAGGAUUUUCUAUGUGCUUCAUGACAGUUAACUACCAUUAAAUUUAAGAUUAUUCCUGUUUUAAUGAUAGCCAAGUACUAUAAAAUUUAAGAAUAUACCUGUUUUUAAUGGUAGCUUAACACUAUCAAAUUGAUAGAUAUUCCUAUUUGUAAUGACACCUAACU